GGUGCCCGUACCGCAAACCGACACAGGUAGGUAGGAAGAAGAUUCUAAGGCCAACGGGAGAAGGGUUGUUAAGGAACUCGGCAAAUUGACCCCGUAACUUCGGGAGAAGGGGUGCUCCAGAGAUGGAGCCGCAGAGAAUCGGCCCAAGCAACUGUUUACCAAAAACACAGGUUUGUGCUAAAUCGAAAGAUGACGUAUACGAGCUGACGCCUGCCCGGUGCUGGAAGGUUAAGAGGAGAUGUGCAAGCAUUGAAUCGAAGCCCCAGUGAACGGCGGCCGUAACUAUAACGGUCCUAAGGUAGCGAAAUUCCUUGUCAGGUAAGUUCUGACCCGCAUGAAAGGCGUAAUGAUUUGGGCACUGUCUCAACAGCCCGCCCGGCGAAAUUGUAGUACCGGUGAAGAUGCCGGUUACCCGCGACAAGACGGAAAGACCCCAUGGAGCUUUACUGUAGCCUAAUAUUGGGUUUCGAUGUUGCAUGCACAGGAUAGAUGGGACACUGGGAAACAAUCGCUUUGGCGGUUGCGGAGUGGCCGUUGGGAUACCAUCCUUGCGAUAUUGGAAUUCUAACCUGCGGCUCUGAAUCGAGUCGGGGGACAUUGUUAGGUGGGCAGUUUGACUGGGGCGGUCGCCUCCUAAAAAGUAACGGAGGCGUUCAAAGGUUCGCUCAGCUUGAACGGAAAUCAAGCAAAAGAGUGCAAACGCAGAAGCGAGCCUAACUGCGAGACUGACGGGUCGAGCAGUAACGAAAGUUGGAGUUAGUGAUCCGGUGGUAUGUGAGUGGAAAUGCCAUCGCUCAACGGAUAAAAGUUACCCUGGGGAUAACAGGCUGAUCUCCCCCAAGAGUCCACAUCGACGGGGAGGUUUGGCACCUCGAUGUCGGCUCAUCGCAUCCUGGGGCUGUAUUCGGUCCCAAGGGUUUGGCUGUUCGCCAAUUAAAGCGGUACGCGAGCUGGGUUCAGAACGUCGUGAGACAGUUCGGUCCCUAUCUGU
rnacentral:rRNA from 1 species